rnacentral:lncRNA from 1 species
GCAGCGGCGCCGUAGGUCGCAUCAUCUGCUCAUUCAUGGUCUGACUCGGAAGUCGGGAGAACUAAUUCUCCAGAUCCGAAACCCUAUAUCACUGAAUCACAAGCCAAAGCACGCCGAAGUAUCACACGAUUAGCCCCGAGACCUGAUCACAGGAUCUGAACGUUCUCGUUUUAAUCCCUUCGAUCCAGUCAAUCGUGUGUUUUCUGAGAUUAUUUAACGAAUUCGUUCGACGCGAAUUUGGGGAGGGGGGAAGAGGUGGAGAGAAGGAAGAAAGAAAAGAAACAGCGUAUCGUAGGAAGAAAGGGCCACGCCCACACGCGGGUACGCGGGUAUAUAAAGAGGAGAGAGGUGGGAGGGAGGCCGUCGGCUGGAUCCGGAGUCGCGGACUACGGACGGCUAGCACUAGCAGGGAGGCGUCCGAGCGGUUGCGUGUCGUGGAUGGACAGCACGGGCUGUGCCGCCAUGGGACGACAACUUUCUGGGCGCUACGAAGCAAACGGCAAAAGGCGCACGGUUUUCCAUUUGUAUCGGUUUUUUAUGGGGAGAACUGCCGUUUAAUUGAUUUAUAAAAAAUGCUUUCGUUUCGAUUUUGUUGCGUUCUCAAUGUGACGACAGCUUGUUGUUUAACUAGUGCACUAGUGCAAUUUGUUCGCUUUACUAAGUUAUUACAUGUCUUAAUGUUAGAAAUAUAGGCAUUUUCCGUAUUAUUUUAAUUCCAUAAAUUAACAUUAUGAUGAUGACAUAUAAUAGAUAAUCAAACAUAGAUAACAUAAUCUCAAAAAUAUCCAUAACAAUAUGGAUCAUGAGAACACAAAGCAUAUGAAGCAUGUAAAUCAUAUAAAUAAAAUAAGUAUAUAAACAUGGUUCAUGGAUUAUUGCGGAACAACUGGAAAUAAACAGAUAAUAAUAUAAACAGGAUGACUGUAAAAUUAAGACAGACAGAUAUAACAUAUUAUAAUACGAUAGAACAAAACUACAUACGACAUAUAUAAUAUGCAGAAUAUAAAACUGUAAUGAACUGAAUUGAUCAUACCCUCCCAUGCGCUCCGAGGAUCCUGAUCCUUGUCCAAUUUCUUUUGUCAUCCGAUCGAGAUGAAGACAGCAAGAACAACAGACGUUGGGCAGUCGCGUAGACGCUCCCCAAAAACCUAAUUGUCGAUCCCCCGUGCAAGGUCUCGAACGGCACCGGCUUCGGAGGCACCUGCCCUCUCGCUUCUCUGUGCGCGCAGAGUCACGAGAUGGAAAUACCCUCACUCGGUGGCUGGACUGUGAGACUGAAAGUGUUUCUCGCGUGUACCGAGUGACAGGGGUGCUCCUCUAUUUAACCUCUCGCAGAGGGAAGCUGAAGGAGAAAGGUCGCCGAGUCACGCCAAGAGUCGACCAGCUCUAGCCGAGUUAUGCCAUGAGUCGGCCAGCUCUCGCCGAGUCACGCCAUGAGUCGGCAGCUGAAGGAGAAGGGUCACUCGGCUGGCUGACGAAGAGACAGGGUCACUCGGCAGACGAAGAGACAGAGUCACUCGGCUGACGUACGCGGUUAGUGAGUGCUAAAAAUUAACACAACCACACCACGCCCGCUCGCCUGCCUCGCCACGCCACGCCCGGCCCGGCCCGGCCGGCGGCGGCGGCGGCGCGCGCGCGCGCGUGUGGCACGCCCUUGUCCAUUUCUUGACUUCUCUGGAUAAGUGGAAUAAAUCCCACCAUAUAAGUCAAGGCAAAAGACCCUUGGACUUCCAAUGUGGUACUAUUGGUAUUCUCCACCAUUACACACCAUAGAGUUUAUUCAAUAAAUGGGCCAAGCCCAUAAAAGAUCCAACAAUCCCCACCAAACUCUAGGGUUUGUAACGAUGAAGUAUCAGAAUCACAAUCCUUUGAUAUACCAGUGUUUCGAUGGAGACUGUUAAGUUGAACAUCCAUCUAGAAUAAGAGUUUCACUCAUUCACAACUGAACAAUGGACUAUGCCUUGAAUUGACAGUUUUGUGCGAAAUAAGAUUCACUCAAAUCCUUUGCUGAUACUAGGCUGCAAAAGGGUAUUCCCGCUGUUUAGAAGCAUAUAAGUCACACUUCAGUGCCUUUCAUGAGUAUUUAGGGAUUACCCAAGUCCCAUAGACUGUGACUAACAGUCUGACUCAUAUAGGUGUAUUCCUCAGAAGAUGUUCUGUAGGACAACAUCUCACCUUUAUAAGACUCUUGGAAUACAUUAAGGUAAAAACCAUCCUGCCUUACAGAUAGGAAAGAUGUGCAUCAGAAAUGAGUUAAAGAAGGGAUCUUUCCUCACAAUCUACUCCUAGCUUGUUUCUCCACUCUACUUCACGGGAUCUCCGAUCACAUAGAGCAGGUUACCACUAGAGUAGAUCUCACAUGGGUCUCAUACCCAUUUCCCUCGAUGCACUUUCUAUCACAUUGCGUGAUAGACCCUUAGUGAAUUGAUCUGCCAGAUUAUUCGAUGUGUGGACAUAAUCCACAGUAAUAACUCCGGAGUUUUUCAACUUUCUGACAGAUUUCAAUCUCCUCUUAACAUGCCUUGUAGACUUCAUGUUAUUCCUAGAACUGUUAACCUUUGUAAUCACCGUUUGGUUGUCACAGUUCAUGGAAAUAGACGAUAUCGGUUUUUCAACUAUGAAAGGAUCACGAUGCCCAAGAGGGGGUGAAUUGGGCUUUUCUAAAAAUCAACACAACACUAAUUAAAACCUAAGCAAGAGCUAAACAAGAGCCCAACUUCACCCCAACAACUAGCACUAAGCAAAUAAUACUAGAAAUGUAACAAAGCUAAGAUAAUACUUCAAAUACUUGCUAAACAAAUACACAAUGUAAACAAAGCUAAGAUAAUACUUCAAAUACUUGCUAAACAAUACACAANNNNNNNNNNNNNNNNNNNNNNNNNNNNNNNNNNNNNNNNNNNNNNNNNNNNNNNNNNNNNNNNNNNNNNNNNNNNNNNNNNNNNNNNNNNNNNNNNNNNAAAGGUGGAGAUAAGAUGCUUAUCUUACUGCCAAUGGUGAUAAAAAGCAACGUCAACUCACAUCUAUUUUUAUUGUAUCGUUCCAUCAUCACUUCCAGAAUCCAUUUGUAUACAGUGUAUACGACCGGUUUGCUUCGCUCUUUGGAAGAGAAAGAGCCACACACGAUCGAACCGUUUGGAGUUUGCAUCGCAUCAACGGCCACGCGCGCGGGCACACUAACGGCAUUAUUAUUGGUUUUUUUUUUUUGUUUGGAGCUUGGAUUCGUCGCGUCAGAGCAGAGCUGUCGUUCGUCCAGAUGCAGGUCCAGUCCUUGUCGGUGGUGUUGACUGUAGAGCACGCUGUGCUCUGAUCUGGGCUGCUAGCACAUUGGCUCAUGCUUUGUGCCGUUCUACGGCGAUCAUUCCAUUUGGACUGGUCAAGUCGUUUCGGGGUUGUCAAGGUGAGUGUGUCCUGAGUUCUGACCAGGACCCGGCGAACAGAACCAAAAUACUGGGCACGGUGUCUUACUAAACACAAAAUAAACGAAGUCGGUGAAGCUCGUCUUAGCGUCAAGUCUUGGCAGAUCUGAGAGAAGGAAAAGGAAAAUAAAUUGAAAGCCCGGCGAAUAUUCAAAGGUUUUUCCUUUAAAAGAAAACACGAACUCCAAGGCGAGCCAGAGCUUUCAGCAUCUUCCUCCAGCCAACCGCUUUCCCUAUGCAAUAUUCUCUCCCUCGCGGUCGCCUCCCUCUCGCUUCCGGUGGCGGCCUGCAAGCUGCCAGUCUGCACGGCAGGAGUCGCAGGACUGAGCAAGGAGCCAAGGAGAUGGGAGGAGAACAGAGAAGAAGCGGGCAACUGGACGUCUGGAUGGACGGCAUUAAAGACAUCCAUCACCCAACCGCAGCACCUUGAAAGGCCUAGUAGAAGUGAUGCAGGGAUCACAAUCCGAACAAUCAGCACAGCACAGAAUGGAAUACUAAGCACGAAACAAAGAACAUGUUGUCGGAAUAACAUUUUUCUUAACAACAAAAACAACAGGUUACUGACUGCACUAAAAAGGGCUGGUAAGAGUUCGGGACUACAAGUGGUUGAGGAUCUGGACGAGCAGGAGGAGGACACCAGGAUCUCGUGCUCCUCCCCGCACAUUCCAUCGUCGACCACGGGCUUUCCUGACUGAUGGUUCUUUCUACAAGGGACAUGAAACGGAAUCAAGCUAGACGAUGUCAAACUAACCAGAUGAGUAACUCUAAAGAAGCUGCUACUGCUGCUGCUCCAUGACUACACAGGGAAAUGGAAACCGUAUGUACAGUUUCAGUGCUGUAAGCUUUACUUCUCCAUGACCAUGGCGUCCCCCGUGUAGGUCUCGUCGCGGGCACCGGGGCAUGCGACGGCGGCCGCGCUCUCAGAGGCACUAGCUCGUCGGCGGUGUCCACCAGGCAGAGCUCCUCCACGGCAACGAGCCGCCGGCGGAGGUCGGCCAUGUCGCGCUCCAUCAGGAAGAGGCGCUCCCGGAGGGUCAGGUUCUCCUCCUCCAGCCUCGCGGCGCGCGCCUCGUCGUCCUCCUCGCCCAGGGCGGCCGAGGCCGCGGCCGCGGCCGGGAGGUGGACCAUCUCGAAGCGGCUGAGGUCGUGGUCCAGGCGGCGCUCCACCUCGACGUGCUCCUCCACCUCGCUCUCGCCGGAGCCCGAGUCGUCGCCGCCGGCGUCCCCGGCGUCGGCGCGCAGGCGGAUGAGGCCCUUCAUGGACCCGUACCCGUCCACGCCCCACGCCUCCUUGGCCAUCUCCACCAGCACCUCCCGCGCCGGCGACAGCACGGGGGUCGGAAGCACCGCCGGCGUCACGGGGCACGGCGACACCAGCGACGCCACGCCCCCCGCCCGCUUCGCACGGAUGAGGAACGACGUCGUGUUGCGCGGGGGCCGCCGCGCCGCCCCACCUGCCGCCGACCGACGCCGGCGGCGCCGGCGGCUGCGCCUUGCGCUUCCAGGGCGUCCGCGCCGCCCGCUUCCACGCCUGCCGCGCCGGCUUGAACGCGGCCACCGGAGGCUCCAUCGCCGGCACCGCCGCCCACAUCUGGUGGAACGGCAGCGGCGCCGUAGGUCGCAUCAUCUGCUCAUUCAUGGUCUGACUCGGAAGUCGGGAGAACUAAUUCUCCAGAUCCGAAACCCUAUAUCACUGAAUCACAAGCCAAAGCACGCCGAAGUAUCACACGAUUAGCCCCGAGACCUGAUCACAGGAUCUGAACGUUCUCGUUUUAAUCCCUUCGAUCCAGUCAAUCGUGUGUUUUCUGAGAUUAUUUAACGAAUUCGUUCGACGCGAAUUUGGGGAGGGGGGAAGAGGUGGAGAGAAGGAAGAAAGAAAAGAAAACAGCGUAUCGUAGGAAGAAAGGGCCACGCCCACACGCGGGUACGCGGGUAUAUAAAGAGGAGAGAGGUGGGAGGGAGGCCGUCGGCUGGAUCCGGAGUCGCGGACUACGG